GGAUGUGAGGGUGAUCUGACUGUGACAUCUGUCACCUCAUUGAUCACCAGGGUUGAUUCAGCUGAUCUGGCUAGCUGGUGAGUGUCCCUGUCCUCCCUCACUGCUCCAUGUGUGUCCCUCCUGAGGCUGUGCGCUAGGUUGAAGAGGACGACCACCCCUGAUAGAGGAGGACUGCUGGGACAGAGGAGUAGCUGCGCUCCCCUCCUAGAACCUCCAUCAUAUCAAUAAAUGUGAUCAUGUUGGCAUUUCUACCUGUGUCCCUGAGUCCAAGGGUUUCUUGGU
rnacentral:snRNA from 1 species